AUGGGCUUAGACAUCUUGUUUAGAUGACAGUUUGCUCUUUUCUCAGUCAGUUUCAUGAGGUAGAGUCGCCUGAAAUGACUUUCAGUUAGGUUAACUAAACUUAUUCUUCAAUUAUUUACAUUUCUAGUCGUCUUAAUGUGUUUGAGAGCAUCAGUUGUAGAGUUUUAAACAGACAGAGUUGGUAUACAGUGAAUACCUCUAUUUGAGUAAUGUUCUCAUCCAUAUCAUGGCAAGAACUACUCAACUAAGUAAAGAAGAAUGACUCCAGUCGAAAAUUCAAGAACCUUGAAAGUAUCCUCAAGUACGUUCGCAAAGACCACCAAAUAUAAUGAUGAAACUGGCACUCAUCAGGAAAAAAGAGAAAGAGUUACCUCCAUUGCACAGGGCCAGCUUCAGAAACCACAAGUUAACAGGAGCCCAGGUUACAGCAACAAAAUAUAUUUUGGUUUGUUUAACACUUUUAAAUUUACUACAUGAUUCCUUAUUCCUUAUGUGUUUCUUCAUAGUCUGGAUGACUUUUUUUUUACAAUAUAGGGGAAAAAAAUAAAAAACAUUGAAUGAGAAGGUGUGUCCAACCUUUUGCAGAGGGCUUUUAAUUUAGAAUUACAGAAACAGGAAGAGGAUGAGAAAAAAAGGAUGACAGGGAGAUGUGAGAAGAGAGAAAGCAGUGUUGCCAAAUCUCCCCAAAAUCCUCCCAAAUGCUUUAUCAUAUGGACACACCUAGCCUCGAAUUCCAGGAGAUACAGUUAUUGUCUUGAUCUUCAGAGAACCACCACCAUGGAAUCAGCCCUCCUACUGGAGACAAGAAGGUCAGAGAUAUACUUAUUUUUCCAGCAAUUCCUGAAUACUUCAUCAGUACACAGCAGUAGUCUUUAAAAACUUUGUGGAGUUUUGUAAUGAGGUCACUGGUAAGGUUUCCUUUAUCUAUUUCUCUGUUUUGUUAAUAUCAUUGUGCAAGAAAUGGUGCACCGCGAAUAGUGCCCCAACCCAUUGACCGUGUCAAAAUUGAAUGCAUGUCUUUGCAUCAGUAUGAGAUCUUGACUUCCACACUUCCCCUGAAUUGGCAUUUUUAAUAACAUAUCAACCGUAAAAAAUGCAAUCUGAAAAAUACAAGGCUGUCUAAGUUCUUAUAGCCUUCUUACAGCCUUGAGGACAC
rnacentral:lncRNA from 1 species